CCUUGGAGCUUUGGUCCUGUCAGGAUUAAUUUUGCCCUCCCCCUGGAGACCUCGUCCUUGAAGAAGAUUCACAUCAAAUGACCAGACUUUUUGGAAAAGUUAAGAAGGCAACACCUCAGAGGAUCGGGAGACAAGGCCUCACUCGCUCCACUAGGCCCCAAGAGACUGCAGAGCUUUGCAGGGGACAACUCUGGAAGAGAACACAGGUAAAAAGCCUGAGUCAGAGGAGGAUGAACUGGCCAGAACUGUUAUACCACCAGCUGAAGAACUGGCCUGGCUUAGCAGUAGUAAUGUAAUGUAAUUAG